AGCGUGUGACCCUUCGGGGAAUUUGCACAGGUGCUGCAUGGCCGUCGUCAGCUCGUGUCGUGAGAUGUUGGGUUAAGUCCCGCAACGAGCGCAACCCUUGUGAUUAGUUGCCAGCACGUCAUGGUGGGAACUCUAGUCAGACUGCCCAGAUCAACUGGGAGGAAGGUGGGGACGACGUCAGGUCAGUAUGGCCCUUACGCCUUGGGCUGCACACGUACUACAAUGCCCAGCACAAUGAGAACCGAUACCGCGAGGUGGAGGAAAUCUGUAAAACUGGGCUCAGUUCGGAUUGGAGGCUGCAACUCGCCUCCAUGAAGUUGGAAUCGCUAGUAAUGGGGCAUCAUCUACGGCCCCGUGAAUACGUUCCCGGGUCUUGUACACACCGCCUGUCACAUCAUGGAAGCCGU
rnacentral:rRNA from 1 species